rnacentral:rRNA from 1 species
GGGCCUACGGGAGGUAGCAGUGAGGAAUAUUGGUCAAUGGUCGGGAGACUGAACCAGCCAAGCCGCGUGAGGGAGGAAGGUACAGAGUAUCGUAAACCUCUUUUGUCAGGGAACAAAGGCGGGGACGUGUCCCCGGAUGAGUGUACCUGAAGAAAAAGCAUCGGCUAACUCCGUGCCAGCAGCCGCGGUAAUACGGAGGAUGCGAGCGUUAUCCGGAUUUACUGGGUGUAAAGGGUGCGUAGGCGGGUGGGCAAGUCAGAAGUGCAAUCCAUGGGCUUAACCC